rnacentral:rRNA from 1 species
UACGGAGGGUGCGAGCGUUGUCCGGAAUCACUGGGCGUAAAGGGCGCGUAGGCGGCCUGAUAAGUAGGGGGUGAAAUCCUGCGGCUUAACCGCAGGGCUGCCUUCUAAACUGUCAGGCUCGAGCACAGUAGAGGCAGGUGGAAUUCCCGGUGUAGCGGUGGAAUGCGUAGAGAUCGGGAAGAACAUCAGUGGCGAAGGCGGCCUGCUGGGCUGUUGCUGACGCUGAGGCGCGACAGCUAGGGUAGCAAACGGG